GUGCUCAGUUUGGCAGCGCACACUCUAAAAGUAGCAUAGUACAGAGGUUAGCAUGGCCCCUGCAAAGACAAGCAAAUCUGUGGAGCAUCCCAUAUUUUU
rnacentral:snRNA from 1 species